rnacentral:rRNA from 1 species
UACGUAGGGUGCAAGCGUUAAUCGGAAUUACUGGGCGUAAAGCGUACGCAGGCGGCUAUGUAAGACAGGUGUGAAAUCCCCGGGCCUAACCUGGGAACUGCAUUUGUGACUGCAUAGCUAGAGUCCGUCAGAGGGGGGUGGAAUUCCACGUGUAGCAGUGAAAUGCGUAGAGAUGUGGAGGAACACCGAUGGCGAAGGCAGCCUCCUGGGCCAGCACUGACGCUCAUGCACGAAAGCGUGGGGAGCAAACAGG